GGUUCCAUGGCUCAGUUGGUUAGCGCGUGGCACUAAUAUCACUCAGAUGUUAAUGCCAAGGUCGAGGGUUCAACCCCCUCUGGAACCA